GUGCCAGCAGCCGCGGUAAUACGGAGGGGGUUAGCGUUGUUCGGAAUUACUGGGCGUAAAGCGCGCGUAGGCGGAUUGGAAAGUUGGGGGUGAAAUCCCGGGGCUCAACUCCGGAACUGCCUCCAAAACUUCCAGUCUGGAGUUCGAGAGAGGUGAGUGGAAUUCCGAGUGUAGAGGUGAAAUUCGUAGAUAUUCGGAGGAACACCAGUGGCGAAGGCGGCUCACUGGCUCGAUACUGACGCUGAGGUGCGAAAUUGUGGGGAGCAAACAGGAUUAGAUACCCUGGUAGUCCACACCGUAAACGAUGGAAGCUAGCCGUCAGGUAGCAUGCUAUUUGGUGGCGCAGUUAACGCAUUAAGCUUCCCGCCUGGGGAGUACGGUCGCAAGAUUAAAACUCAAAUGAAUUGGCGGGG
rnacentral:rRNA from 1 species